rnacentral:rRNA from 1 species
CCUACGGGAGGCAGCAGUGGGGAAUAUUGGGCAAUGGGCGCAAGCCUGACCCAGCAACGCCGCGUGAAGGAAGAAGGCUUUCGGGUUGUAAACUUCUUUUAAGGGGGAAGAGCAGAAGACGGUACCCCUUGAAUAAGCCACGGCUAACUACGUGCCAGCAGCCGCGGUAAUACGUAGGUGGCAAGCGUUGUCCGGAGUUACUGGGUGUAAAGGGCGUGCAGCCGGAGAGACAAGUCAGAUGUGAAAUCCACGGGCUCAACCCGUGAACUGCAUUUGAAACUGUUUCCCUUGAGUGUCGGAGAGGUGAUCGGAAUUCCUUGUGUAGCGGUGAAAUGCGUAGAUAUAAGGAAGAACACCAGUGGCGAAGGCGGAUUACUGGACGAUAACUGACGGUGAGGCGCGAAAGCGUGGGGAGCAAACAGGAUUAGAUACCCCUGUAGUC